GUUAUUGAAAUGAUUGUACAUAAUCUACCAAUUGCACUGAUGAUUAUAUAACCAAUAAUUAUCGGUAUACCUAAAAUGCAUUUUAUCUCUUAAGAAUAUGUUAUAGUAAUAUUUAUAACAUGUUAAAUGUUCCAAUUAAUCUAUGUUUUUAACUCAAUAUUGAAAGUGUUAAAAAUGUCUUAAAAGUUGCUUAUAAAUUUAUGAAAGUGUAACAGUUUCAUUUAGGAAGUGAUUAAGAAAUGAAUUCAAUUUUUUAUGUGUUCACCAAAAUAUCUAAAUUCUUUUGUAUUUGUGCAAUACCUGUAAUAAUUAAGAUCAUUACAAUACAUUUAUAGUGCUCUAGUUACUAGUAUUUGUUGUACUAUAUGUAAGGGAUUAUCAAUACAAUACAUGUACCCGGUAACUAUAGCCUAUAAAUAAUUCUCAGGAAAGCCUUACAGUUAAAAAAGGGUACAUAAUGUGAUAUUAUAUAUGUAUAUAUAUACAUAUUUUUAUUGAUAAUUAUGCAUACAUGUAUGUUUUCAACUGUUCAACUUUUAUAGGGCAUUGAUUGUAUGUACCAGUAUGUAUUAAAUGGAAAGCAAAUUGUGCACAGUUAAAGUACCGGUACAUGUACUAGCUACUACAUAGUUGCACAGAUAGAUUGGAUGAUCUCAAAUACCACAGAUUUGUCGAAGAUUAAUUUUAUGUAUUUUACCUUGUAAAUCUCUUUCUUUCAAAUUAUUCGGUUUGAUAUAUCAAUUUUGAUUUUAUAAAUAUGUUGAUUCAUGUAGAUUAAUAUACCCAGUUAAUUCCACUUAGAUUUUAAUAGAAAUGUUGAUAUUCAGUCAUUUAAUGAAAUUGUCAAUCAAUCUACAUGUAUUAGUUGACUUAUCAAUAUCAAGAUAUAUAAAUUGAUUUAUUUUUGUCGUUUGAAAACUCUAAAAUAAAGUUGAUUUGAAUCA
rnacentral:sRNA from 1 species